AAUCUUACCUGGGAGGGGGGGAUACCAUGAUGAAGAAGGUAAUUUUCCCAGGGUAAGGGUCAUCCAUUGCACUCUGGGUGUGUUGACAUUUUGAUUUCCCCAAAUGUGGUGUAUUAGUCAGGGUUCUCCAAAGAAAC
rnacentral:snRNA from 1 species